AAUGAAAAAAAUAAUAUUUGAUUUGACUCGUAUAAUAGCUGUGAUGAUGUAAUCGAAUUACAGGAUCCACUUCCCUUCCUUGCGUAUGGUCUCUUCGCCAUCUUGGACACAGUGACAAGUGCACACGGUGCUUCGUCGCUCCGCAUAAUUACAGAUUUCCAAGAAUUUCACGAGUUACGAUACAGUGCAUUGAAUAUACCAGUUUUUUAUGCUCUUCGAUACGUAUACAACUUUAUUGCAAUCACGCACAUAGGAAUGAAAUAAUCGAGUGUUGUGUCGCAAAAAUAAAAAUAUCGCGAAGUAGAAGCAGUGUUUGUUCAUACGCAUUUCGUGAUUUAAACAAUAAGUGUUCUUGCAUGGAUUGCGUGCAAUGCAGUCAUUAGAGUCAGUGUUUGUUCGCGAAGUAUUUUAUUUUAACAGUCGCACAGACUGUAUUUAUAAAAAAACAGUAGAUUUUCGCGAAAUAAAUUCAGUGACCGUUCGUUAAUAAAUAACUACCGCGAAUUAGAAUCAAUGCAUCACUCAAGAGGAUCUCAACCAACUUCGAUGUCGACCUACCUCAUUUUCAACCAGCUACAUAUCAUCCACCCUCAAUUUCAACCUAAAUCGCGGUCGAAUGUUUUGGAGCCACCACAGAACUUCUUAAGUAGUAAGUUAAUUUUUAAGUACUUCCGAUCACUCAGUUAUAUCGAGGACGAAAGGUCCGAAUCAGCUCGAGUGAUUGGUUAUAAUUAUUAAGUAAAAAAGCAUUGAGUGACCACGAGAAAAUUUCGUCGAAACUUACUCGUGAAUGGUUUCUUAUUUUUUUAUUUAUUUAUUAGAUCAGAUUAAGACUUUCUUGUUUCAUACCCGUUUAUAAUUAUUUCUACUUUAUACAAAAAUUAUUGUAAUAC